AGAAACUGAAGAUCAGUUACCCAACAAAAUAACAUCAAUUUAUUUAGACUAAUUGUUUUUAUGACUACAGACAGUAGGCUAAUAUUCCUAUUUUCUUGCAUUAAUUCAUUUGUCUGCAUGUCUAUUCAACAUUUGGCAAAAAAAUUAACCAUGCCAUGAAUUAAGAACGAUCAACAUAUUUUUUUCUUCACAAUGCAAUGCGGCACAUUGACAACUCAAAUCGCUUUAAAGAGCCUUCUAAUAUUAGACAACAAAUAAAUAAACUAAAACAACUUCAAAAACAGUCCAUUCAUAACUGGAUUUCUUCAAAUUGCUGUGCAGGAAAAGGAUGUCAUCCACCGUGCCUGGUCGCAGGCUCGCUGCUGGCUUCUCUCUGAAACCACACAUCCAUCUGUAGGUGACGCCUUAUCCUUUGGAACCACGCAAUUACCAGGUGGACAGUAGGCCUCUUGAAGCAGUAGAGGAAAUCAACAAGAUCCGCAAGUAUUCUUUCACACUAGCUGGCCUUAUGUUAUCUGCAGUUUCGAGGUGCACUGUCACACUCUGUGGUGGAUAACAUCCACUCUUCGUUUAUGUAAUGGGCUGUAAGACACAGGUAUCCUAUUUUUCGAAAAUCGUCAGUCCACAUGUCAAGUGUAAUUGCGCCAUUGCAUCAACCCCUACAAAUAUAUUCUAAUGUAUUAUAAUGCACAUAAUAAUUCAAAUAAAAUUUGCUGUAGCUAUAGGAGAGAGACUGCAUGCUAAAGACAAAUAGAAAUAAUGUGUCUUUAAGACUGCAUUAUAUGACUUAUGAAUGAGUCACUCAGCCCUAUGCUUCUGUUCCUGCUUCUGUUGCCUAUUUGAGUGUUUGUUUAAUAUCCUACUGAUUCUGUGGUCACCAAGCCCCAUGCAACCGUAAAAUGUUGGAUAAAGAACUUUCACAAAUCCGUCUGUUUUUAAACUUUGCUAUGCUGUAUUAAAGGCUUUGCGAUGUUUUUCAUUAGAACAGACUCUAUGCUAUUACUUCUACUUUAGUGUUAUUUACACUGUUCCAAACUGGCAGAUAGAUUACAAUAUAAUUUAACAGCACUUGCUUGUCAUGCAACAAUGAUUGUCUCUUGCACAAUGAUUUUACAUGAGGCCUAAUUCACAUGAUAUGCCUAAAAUACUUAUAUCCCCUAGGCUAAUAAAUAAAUCAUAUUUUUCCUUUCAAUUGUUUAAUUGCUCUAUAUCAUGAUAUUUCAAGUUUUCCCUUUGGAGCACAUGCAAAAGCGAUUUGGAGUUGUUGAGCGGGAGUGACAAAAUGUAUUACAAUUCCGUGCGCACACUCCAAAAAAUGUUUUUGUUUUUUCUACUUAGUCAGAAGAAGCUGUAAAUGGACCAUGUAACACGCAUAUAGACGCACAUACAAUAUUUGUUCAUCAACAUCUUUAUGUUUUCGUUAAUAAAAUAACGAUAAAAAAACACUUCCAAAUGUAGAUGUUUAUUUAAACUACUUCCCGCAAGCUCCACGACCACAGGUAAAACCUUGCUUAGAUUAUCAAUAAAUAAAUGGUGACUUCUGACUUGUUGCAUCUUACGGACAAUUUGGAGUAUUAUUGAUUACUGUGAAGGUCGGGUUUGGAUCAGUUUAUGUAGAUAUUUGUCGUAUCCUUCAGUGUUGCACCUGCAGGUCCAUUGGAUGUUUUGACUAUUUAUUCCAGAUUGAUUCCCCGAUAUAUAACAAACACGUAGCCUAUGCAAUGGGUAAGGUGCAAGCUAUAUAGACCUUUUUAUGUUGAGGGAAUCUCGUAUUCAUAAAUUGGCUCCAAAGCUGAUCAAAAAAGGCAAGAAUGGUCGUAAUUUUAAUUCGUCAAGCCGAUGAAAUACUUGAUUGCUGGUAAACAAUCGGCCUGAAAAAACGAAUUCUAGAGGUUAGUGUGCAUUUGCAUGGCAAAGGGAAAUGCAUGGCAAAGGGAAAUAUACGCAUUUUGGAAUUAUUUUCUGUAAUAAUGCAUUCAAAAAAGAUUUAUUGGGAAAAGAAAGCAAAAUGUGAAAAAUGCCUCAGAGCAAGAUGAGAUGCUUUUUAAGAACCAAUAUAAAGUGCUAGAAAAAGUGUGUCAAGACACUGGAGCACCGGGCCAAAUAGUGUCCCCCUCUGCGUCACAAUGGGAUUCGAUGAGUUCUAGCUUCUGUUGCUAGGGGUGUAAGAACAUAUUGUUAAAUAUGAAUGAAUAAUUUAAGCUGUUUUUAGAUUGACGUUGCUAGCUACUGUAUUUAUUUUUCUCAGCCUGCCUAGUCAGCUAGCUAGCUAGCCAGACAGUUUUAUUUAGCUAACGUUAGCUAGCUACUGUACCUGUUAUUGUAGCUUUCUGUUUGUAUGUAGCUUGCACUUCAAUGGCAUCCCUCGAUGAGAUUUUAUUUUAUCUUUCCAACCAGGUGAAGUACUCAGAAAAAACACCACUGAUCUCGAAAAGAGGCGUAACAUUCUGAGAAAUUCACAAUUCAGGGCAAUCAUAUCUACCUACGGGGGAAGGAUGGCCAGACACACAGGACGGUGAUUUCUACUAAGGAGGAGAGGAGGCCGUGCUGACCGAGAUGCAUGCUGGCCAUUUCGCAGUGAAGCGCAUGAUUGCCAAAAUCAACCUACGCUUCUUCUGACGGGGAAUUGUCAAGAAGGUGGACAGCUGGGCAAGUGAAAUAACCUUUUGUUUAUCAAUCACAGGGUUCAAUUCUCGGGCCGACUUUCUUCUCUGUAUACAUCAAUGAUGUCGCUCUUGCUGUUGGUGAUUCUCUGAUCCACCUCUACGCAGAUGACACCAUUCUGUAUACUUCUGGCUCUUCUUUGGACACUGUUAUCUAACCUCCAGACGAGCUUCAAUGCCAUACAACUCUCCUUCCGUGGCCUCCAACUGCUCUUAAAUAUCAGUACACUGUGUAGCCUGCCAGAAGUUUGAGAGGGCGAAGACUGUGGCGCCGGAGUUGAAGCCCAUCAAAGUUGUUUCACCAUGGCACAUGAUCGGUAAGUGUCCCAAUUCAAAUUUUGCCCUGAUAAGUUGGUUUGUAAUGUUUGCUUUAUUUGACAGGAGAGUUCAAUAUUAUAGAAUGUGUAUGUGUGUGUCAGUAUCCUUGCAAAUAUGAAAAGCUGCAUACUGUAUGACACAGAUACGGUAAGAAUAAAGUAAUCUUCUCUCUAAAACUUAAAAUGUUAUGGGUGGACCUCAUCGGACCCUUCACGAAAUCCAGGAAUGGCAACAGCUGGUGUCUGACGGUGACCGAUCACUUUACCAAGUGGGUGGAGGCAAUACCCAUUAAGAUCAGUAAAGGAAGAGUAUGUUCUUAACUCGGAAUUCCCUUCUGUAACCCAUUAAAAAGGGUGGUUGGAACAAAUAAAUAUAUUUUCGUUUUGUAUGAUACCUAUCAAGGACGAGACUGGCAAGGCCACCUCCAAGGCGAUGGUGGACAUCUGCAACACACAUGGUUCUCCUGAGGUCAUCUUGAGUGACCGAGGUCAUGAGCGCUGGAACAAGGUUUGGUGAAUGGACCAUCCAGACCCUCAAGGCUGCCAUGGACAAGUCCCUUGAUUGGUACCUGGAAGAGUGGGAGAAAAACCUGAAAGUAAUUCUCUUUGCACACAACAGCAGCAUCCAGGCCUCCACAAACAAAGAUAACUGAAACCCCACUUGAUGUGAUGGAAGUUGUCGAACCAGAUCUGAAUGCCUUCGAGGUCCAGUUCAGGCAUGGACUGAGAAGGAUGUGGUUUUUGACCAGGUGAGACUGAACAUGGACAAGGCGCAGGAAAAACAGAAGGAGAGCUACCGAAGCAGAAUCAAGAAGGGGACCAAGUGCUACGACAUCCGGGCAAUUUACUUGGCUUGGAAGAAGGACGAAAGGAAGGCGAGACCUGGGAAACCUCGCUGUUUUUUCGCUCCUAGCUGGGGUCACCAUCUGUUAAAGGUUACCUCAGCGGAAGUCAACAAUCUUCUACAGUUGGAGCAGUUUGACGGUCGACCACUGAAAGCAGUGACGCCCUACACUUCAGUGAAGCCCAAUAGACAAAGACCAUCGACUGUCCGAGCCCCCCCAGGAGGUAUCCCAUCCACCAGAACCAGUGAGUCCGGAUCAGUCUGAUUCUCUGUGCGCUGAGUCGGAGGGGGACCAGCUUGAGGAGCUGGAGGUUCUGCCCAACACCCAGACAUGGAUCCACCUGAUGUCCUCCAUUACCAACCACCCUCCAACUUUUCAUUAAAUAUUCUACAGCUACUGAUGUUGUCAUUAUCUGCUAAGAAAGUGAGAUAAUAUAUGAGAUAAAUCAAAUCGUAUUGGUCACAUACACGUGUUUAGCAGAUGUUAUUGAGGGUGUAGUGAAAUGCCUGAGUUUCUAGCUCCGACAGUGCAGUAAUAUCUAACAAGUAACAUCUAACAAUUUCACAACAUAUACACACAAAUCUAAGUAAAGGAAUGGAAUUAAGAAUAUAUAAAUGUAUGGAUGAGCAAUGUCAGUGGCAUAGACUAAGAUUCAGUAGAAUGGUAUAGAAUACAGUAUAUACAUAUGAGAUGGGUAAUGCAAGAUAUGUAAACAUUACAUUUUACAUUUUACAUUUAAGUCAUUUAGCAGACGCUCUUAUCCAGAGCGACUUACAAAAUGGUGCAUUCACCUUAUGAUAUCCAGUGGAACAACCACUUUACAAUAGUGCAUCUAAAUCUUUUAAGGGGGGGGGGUUAGAAGGAUUACUUUAUCCUAUCCUAGGUAUUCCUUAAAGAGGUGGGGUUUCAGGUGUCUCCGGAAGGUGGUGAUUGACUCCGCUGUCCUGGCGUCGUGAGGGAGCUUGUUCCACCAUUGGGGUGCCAGAGCAGCGAACAGUUUUGACUGGGCUGAGCGGGAACUGUGCUUCCUCAGAGGUAGGGGGCCAGCAGGCCAGAGGCGGAUGAACGCAGUGCCCUUGUUUGGGUGUAGGGCCUGAUCAGAGCCUGAAGGUAUGGAGGUGCCGUUCCCUU
rnacentral:lncRNA from 1 species